rnacentral:rRNA from 1 species
CCUACGUGAGGCUGCAGUGAGGAAUAUUGGUCAAUGGACGAGAGUCUGAACCAGCCAAGUAGCGUGAAGGAUGACUGCCCUCUGGGUGGUAAACUUCUUUUAUAUGGGAAUAAAAUGUUCCACGUGUGGGAUUUUGUAUGUACCAUAUGAAUAAGGCUCGGCUAACUCCGUGCCAGCAGCCGCGGUAAUACGGAGGAUCCGAGCGUUAUCCGGAUUUAUUGGGUGUAAAGGGAGCGUAGAUGGGUUGUUAAGUCAGUUGUGAAAGUUUGCGGCUCAACCGUAAAAUUGCAAUUGAUACUGGCAGUCUGGAGUACAGGUGAGGUAGGCGGAAUUCGUGGUGUAGCGGUGAAAUGCUUAGAUAUCACGAAGAACUCCGAUUGCGAAGGCAGCUUACUAAACUGCCACUGACAUUGAUGCUCGAAAGUGUGGGUAUCAAACAGGAUUAGAUACCCCUGUAGUC